UUGAGCAACCCACCCCCUUUGUCUAACAACUAGAAAUUAGACACCUUUUAAUAUUUACGCAUGCCUAGUCUCUACAAUAUUGAAUUGUUAAUAUUGUAACAAGCGCCAAAAGUUAGGAAUGUAAGGGAGUUAAACACACCGAAAGCUAAACCGGGGAGUUAGAGUCAGAACUGUGGGAUAGUGUUUCUUAUCAGUUCUUCAAACACUGUUUCUAACAUAACACAGCUGGUACCAGCCCCUCACUUGUCUCACUCUUUCCCAGGGCUUUGUGAGACAAUGCUGCUUCUCAGUAUUUUUCCACUCUGGGAUUACCCAGAAACCACUGUUAGCCUGACUUCAAUCAGGUUGGCAUAACUGGUUUUGUGCUACAUCUUUAUUCAGGCCUAACACUACUACAAGGAGCUGCACACCAUCCUUGGUGGUGACUACACCACUAAGAGCCCCAUGGAUACUUCGGGGGGACUGGAGGCAUCAGCCAGUGGAGUCAACCCUGAGGAUGAAGUGGUGGAUGAGGAAGUGGAGUUGGAGGAGGCUGUGGGACAUGCGACAAGGUCAUCCAGUGGCGUGCUCAUGAAAUACAGCAGGACCAACCGCAUUGUGUCCAUAAGGCUCAUCACCAUACUGGCCAUCAAUUCAGGAUCCAUGCUAUCAGGUAGAGAUGGUGGGUGCACAGUUUACAGGCAGCUGUUAAAAAAUGGCACCAAACCAAGUCAAGCCCAUGGAUGAUGGACUGGAAAGAACUGCAUCAUGACACGGAUUCUCCCAUCUGCUUUCAAGACUCAGAUCCAGAGGGAGUACCAUUUUGAGCCAUUAUUGAAGCAUGUGAAAUGGCACCCACAACAGACAAUUAAGAG